AGAGUUUGAUUAUGGCUCAGGACGAACGCUGGCGGCGCGCCUAACACAUGCAAGUCGAACGGGACUAUCUCGGAAGAAGUUUUCGGAUGGAUUUUGGGAUAGUUUAGUGGCGGACGGGUGAGUAACACGUGAGCAACCUGCCUUCGAGAGGGGAAUAACGGCUGGAAACGGUCGCUAAUACCGCAUAAUGUACGGAUGGGACAUCCUGUCUGUACCAAAGAUUUAUCGCUCGAAGAUGGGCUCGCGUCCGAUUAGGUAGUUGGUGAGGUAACGGCCCACCAAGCCGACGAUCGGUAGCCGGACUGAGAGGUUGAACGGCCACAUUGGGACUGAGACACGGCCCAGACUCCUACGGGAGGCAGCAGUGGGGGAUAUUGCACAAUGGGGGAAACCCUGAUGCAGCGACGCCGCGUGUGGGAAGACGGUCUUCUGGAUUGUAAACCACUGUCCCCAGGGACGAAAAUGACGGUACCUGGGGAGGAAGCUCCGGCUAACUACGUGCCAGCAGCCGCGGUAAUACGUAAGGAGCAAGCGUUGUCCGGAA
rnacentral:rRNA from 1 species